UGAACCCACAAAAUGGUAAACUCUGCUCUGAUCUCAGAGCCAGAUAUAGCCUGGGAAGCUGCAGUACAGGCUUCUUCAUUCUGCUGUACUGGUGUAUCUGUCCCUUAACUGGAUGCAUCCACCUUUACAGAUGAGAGGGUAGUUCAGUCUCCAUGCUCAUUCAACUUAAACCAAA
ensembl:misc_RNA